rnacentral:rRNA from 1 species
CGUGUAGGCGGUCAGGUAAGUGGAAUGUGAAAUGCCCCGGCUCACCCGGGACCGGCAUCCCAAACUGCCUGGCUUGAGUAUGGGAGAGGAUGGAGGAAUUCCUGGUGUAGCGGUGAAAUGCGUAGAUAUCAGGAGGAACACCGGUGGCGAAGGCGUCCAUCUGGCCCAAUACUGACGCUGAGGCGCGAAAGCUAGGGGAGCAAACGG